rnacentral:rRNA from 1 species
ACGGGGGAUGCGAGCGUUAUCCGGAUUUAUUGGGUUUAAAGGGCGCGUAGGCGGGACGGCAAGUCAGCGGUAAAAGACUGCAGCUAAACUGUAGCACGCCGUUGAAACUGUCGACCUGGAGACGAGACGAGGGAGGCGGAACAAGUGAAGUAGCGGUGAAAUGCAUAGAUAUCACUUGGAACCCCGAUAGCGAAGGCAGCUUCCCAGGCUCGGUCUGACGCUGAUGCGCGAGAGCGUGGGUAGCGAACAG